rnacentral:lncRNA from 1 species
AAAUAGUUAAAGAGGACGUGAUUGAGAAAAAAUAAAGUGGAAUUAAAAAAGAGGAGAUUGGAAAUAACGAUAACAAAGAGGAAAAAGGAUUCACCCUUGAUCAACUUAUAAAUAAAAACUCUCAUCGGAGGAGAAUAAAGAAGCAGAUCCUGAAUGAUCCAAAUCCCAAGUUUUCAUAUUAUAUCAAACCACCAUAUCCCAUAAUUAAAAAGAAACCGGUCCAGGACGAUGAGGCAUGAAUGUUUGCAAAGUU